rnacentral:rRNA from 1 species
AUUGAACGCUGGCGGCAUGCUUUACACAUGCAAGUCGAACGGCAGCGCGGUCUUCGCCCUCUCUGCGGGUUGCGGACGGGUGGGUAGUUCAGCGGUACAUGCGCAUCUGUUUUUUAUAGGUGGGCGAAAUCGGGAAUAAUACCCCAUUCGCGCUUAGGGUGAAAGGGUGGAAUCUUCGGACCUCGCGCCAUUGGGGCUGUCGAUGGCAGAUUAGCGAGUUGGUGGGGUAAAGGCCUACCAAGGCGACGAUCUGUAGCUGGUCUGAGAGGAUGAUCAGCCACACUGGAACUGAGACACGGCCCAGACUCCUACGGGAGGCAGCAGUGGGGAAUUUUGGACAAUGGGCGCAAGCCUGAUCCAGCAAUGCCGCGUGUGUGAUGAAGGCCUUCGGGUUGUAAAGCACUUUUGGCGGGAAAGAAAAGCAGUGUGCUAAUACCCCGCUUUGCUGACGGUACCCGAAGAAUAAGCACCGGCUAACUACGUG